rnacentral:rRNA from 1 species
AAUAGAUACCCAGGUAGUCCACGCCCUAAACGAUGUCGACUGGUUGUUGGGGGUUUGACACUCUCAGUAACGAAGCUAACGCGUGAAGUCGACCGCCUGGGGAGUACGGCCGCAAGGUUAAAACUCAAAGGAAUUGACGGGGACCCGCACAAGCGGUGGAUUAUGUGGAUUAAUUCGAUGCAACGCGAAAAACCUUACCUACCCUUGACAUGUCCGGAAGGCUGCUGAAAGGCGGCUGUGCCCGAAAGGGAACUGGAACACAGGUGCUGCAUGGCUGUCGUCAGCUCGUGUCGUGAGAUGUUGGGUUAAGUCCCGCAACGAGCGCAACCCUUGUCAUUAGUUGCUACAUUCAGUUGGGCACUCUAAUGAGACUGCCGGUGACAAACCGGAGGAAGGUGGGGAUGACGUCAAGUCCUCAUGGCCCUUAUGGGUAGGGCUUCACACGUAAUACAAUGGCGCGUACAGAGGGCUGCUAAGCCGCAAGGUAGAGCCAAUCCCUUAAAGCGCGUCGUAGUCCGGAUUGCAGUCUGCAACUCGA